CGGAAUUACUGGGCGUAAAGCGCACGUAGGCGGCUUUGUAAGUUAGAGGUGAAAGCCCGGGGCUCAACCCCGGAAUUGCCUUUAAGACUGCAUCGCUCGAAUCCGGGAGAGGUGAGUGGAAUUCCGAGUGUAGAGGUGAAAUUCGUAGAUAUUCGGAAGAACACCAGUGGCGAAGGCGGCUCACUGGACCGGUAUUGACGCUGAGGUGCGAAAGCGUGGGGAGCAAACAGG
rnacentral:rRNA from 1 species